AUUCAGGGCACUUGCAAUGUAUGGGAACCAGUCUACAAGGCCACAAAAUUCCGCCAAGAAUAAACAAAGAAAUUGCGGGAUGUUGUUUACGUGUGUCACUCGACACUGACUGCAAGAAACAAAGAGUGGAGAGCUAAUGCAUGGUGCUAAGUAUGGAAAUGUCUCUUGUGGAUUGGUUGUGCCAGAGACAAAUGUACAUUAUUUCUAUGUUGGGUCAGAAGUCUCGGUACACUUUGGGUGAGUGGCAGUUGGGAAGAUGGAAGACCUUCAGAUAGUUUGAGAUGAAGAAGUUUUUUUAAAUGAUUGA